rnacentral:rRNA from 1 species
GGGCACUAGGUGUGGGGACCAUUCCACGGUUUCCGCGCCGCAGCUAACGCAUUAAGUGCCCCGCCUGGGGAGUACGGCCGCAAGGCUAAAACUCAAAGGAAUUGACGGGGGCCCGCACAAGCGGCGGAGCAUGCGGAUUAAUUCGAUGCAACGCGAAGAACCUUACCAAGGCUUGACAUGUUCUCGAUCGCCGUAGAGAUACGGUUUCCCCUUUGGGGCGGGUUCACAGGUGGUGCAUGGCUGUCGUCAG